ensembl:lncRNA
CGUGGACAAAGUGUAGGUUAAAUAAGAUUUAUUUGACAGUUGGGAGAUUAUAAUUUCCUAUCAGAUAGGAAACACCUAUGUUUUAGCAUCUGGACCUCACUGAGCUUGCGCUGGUGUUUCGUUCGUAACCAAUCAGAAACAACGAACGAAUCUUUAAUUACUCUUUUUUUUGACUCUGGUUUUAAAGAAUCGGUUGAGUGAAUGACUCACUAAAGGGUUCUAUCGAUGAUUCAUUCAUAAAACACAGAUACGUUCACUUGCCGCCGCCUGCUGGUGUAGCAGUUAAUCGCGGUCUUAAUUUCAACAGCAAAGAAUGGUUAAACAAGUUUAAAGACUCAGACGAGGCCCAGUUAGUUCCGCUGGACUCUGAGAAGAAUGUAAAAUGAAAAUGCACAACCGAAAGAAAGGAUAUGGUUUUAAGGAGGACCGUAUGUUCAAACAUUAACGUUUUUAGAGUGGUGGGAAGUUUCGUGUAUCCCACAUGUCCGGGGCAGAGUGACACAUGUUUAAAGAUAUCCCUUUCCUUUUCCUCACCACUGCCUUGUGAAGUCUUAAUUCAGCAUGUGGAAUCACCUGACCCCAUCUUCCCCUGAUCUUCUUUCCCCACCUCAAGCCCCAUCUCUAGUUUGCUAUCCAGAGACCUGAUUUGAGUACGUUUUGGAGAGAAUCCCAGAUGAAAAUAGUCUUUUUUGAAAAGGAGGACCAGAGACAAAAAGGAACUGAAGAGAGGAAUGUCAAACCGUCCUUUCUUUCCCCUCUCUUUCUUUGGGAUGAGGCCAGAGGAUGCGCUGACUGAAUAGCACGACUGUCCGAUAAGGUUGCAUGCGGGAAAUCUGUUACCCCCUCAGGUACUCAUGAUGGGCUGCACGGUUGGAUAGAAACAUGUGCGCGAACAUGACCGAAUAGUGAGAAGUCCAAGAGAGAGAGAGAGAGAGAGAGAAGACAGUAGUGCUAAUUUAAGAAAAAAACAAAGGUCUGAUAAUAAUCUCUCGUCCCUUCAUUUAAAUGGACAACCUCUCCAUGAACUCACCUACGGCCCUGAGACUGGCUCUGAGCUUGACCUCUUGAAUGGUCUGGGAACUGAACAGAUCCCAUCCCGUAAUCCAAACGUUCCUCACGAUUUUUCUCGUCCCUGUAAUAGAGAGAGAGAGAGAGAGAGAUUCUUAACAAAAGGCCCGUCACCUUUGGGAAUCCUCGUAUUUCCCUCCAGCCCAUGAGUGGAGCUUUUCAAAAUAGCACUUUGGAGCCUGCUGUGGUUGACAUGUCGCAACAACAUGAAAAUGAAUGUUCUUUGUCCUUUAUCCACCUCUGGGAGCACUCGACAAGAUGUUUUUACACUCAUGUUUCUAAUUUUUCCCUCUUGUAGAUUCAAUUCAAAAAUAAAUCAAGGCAGUUGAACUCGGUUCUGUCUAGG